CUCACCAGAUUUCAGCAUGGCUC
rnacentral:siRNA from 1 species